UGAGGAAUAUUGCGCAAUGGGGGAAACCCUGACGCAGCCACGCCGCGUGAAGGAUGACACCCCUCUGGGGCGUAAACUUCUUUUAUAUGGGAAGAAACCUCUGUUCUUCAGAGUCUGACGGUACCAUAUGAAUAAGCACCGGCUAACUCCGUGCCAGCAGCCGCGGUAAUACGGAGGGUGCAAGCGUUGUCCGGAAUCAUUGGGUGUAAAGGGUGUGUAGGCGGGACUGUAAGUCAGGGGUGAAAGCCCGCAGCUUAACUGCGGAAUUGCCCUUGAUACUGCAGGCCUUGAGUCCUGGAGGGGCUGCUAGAAUUCGUGGUGUAGCGGUGAAAUGCGUAGAUAUCACGAGGAAUACCAAAGGCGUAGGCAGGCAGCUGGACAGGUACUGACGCUGAGGCACGAAAGCGUGGGGAGCAAACAGG
rnacentral:rRNA from 1 species